UAGUCCACUUCUAUUUUUCAUCGACUAACUGCCCCCACUUCUAUCUUCAUCCAAAACUGCUCAAAUAUUUCUGAAUGUUUCUUCCAAAAUAUUUGUUCUCAGUACAAAAUAAAUGACCAAAACGGUUUAGGGAUUUCAAACUCAUGGAAGAUCGCCUCGAUAUAUCUCAAGUCUCCCCAGGUUACUGUUGAGUCAAGGGAAUGGAAGGUCACAUAUGAGACAAAAAGAUAGAAAGAGAGCUUUAGUUCACCACUGGGAAUCUUCACGGUAAUUCUGCAUCUGCAACAGCUAAUUCAAGACAAGUUCUCUCUGUAUCUUUUUAAGCUUUUAUUUAAUUUUGUUAUUUUGGAUUGUGAUAAUGUCUUACUAAAAUCUCAUAGAAAAUAAUUCAUUUUAUUCUUUUUCCCUUUUUGUUAUGGUGAAUACCGGAGACUUCUCGCCCCAAAACUGAGAAUAGAAAAGGGAUCAUCUGAUGCAAUCAAAGAAAUUAAAAAUACCAAACAUGCUACAUCAUUGCAAGAUGUGACUGAAUAUGCAAAUGAUGGAUGGCGGUGCAGGGCGUUUGCGCUUUGCUGCAUAUGGACGAGUUUUCCCAGGUGAGAACUGGAGCCAUUAGAGAUAAUUGUUGUUGGGGGAAUUCUCUGAUGGGCUUACUGCUGUAUCCACUACUCCUUUUGAUAUGUUGGAGACAGGCACGAUGACUGCUCCUCAAGCUGCGUCAAGUACCGUCACUCGACUAUUGCAAUAUGAUUUCCCAUCAUGUAGGGGAGGAGGGUGAUGAACUUCAUGUCUCAAUUCACUAAGCGUGCUAAACUGAAGUGAAGUCCUAUAAUAAACACAAGCAUUUGUUCAUUUAAACGAUUAGGGAAUUUUUAUUUGUUCUUAUAUCGUUAAAAGUUUACAGCAAUAUAUAUAUCUAUGACUGUGGGUGCCGUUCAUGUAAAAAUUUGUUCAUUUA